rnacentral:rRNA from 1 species
UUGAACGCUGGCGGCAGGCCUCACACAUGCAAGUCGAGCGGAUGAAGGGAGCUUGCUCCUGGAUUCAGCGGCGGACGGGUGAGUAAUGCCUAGGAAUCUGCCUGGUAGUGGGGGAUAACGUCCGGAAACGGGCGCUAAUACCGCAUACGUCCUGAGGGAGAAAGUGGGGGAUCUUCGGACCUCACGCUAUCAGAUGAGCCUAGGUCGGAUUAGCUAGUUGGUGGGGUAAAGGCCUACCAAGGCGACGAUCCGUAACUGGUCUGAGAGGAUGAUCAGUCACACUGGAACUGAGACACGGUCCAGACUCCUACGGGAGGCAGCAGUGGGGAAUAUUGGACAAUGGGCGAAAGCCUGAUCCAGCCAUGCCGCGUGUGAAGAAGGUCUUCGGAUUGUAAAGCACUUUAAGUUGGGAGGAAGGGCAGUAAGUUAAUACCUUGCUGUUUUGACGUUACCAACAGAAUAAGCACCGGCUAACUUCGUG